rnacentral:misc_RNA from 1 species
GAAGUGCGAUAAGCAAUGCGAAUUGCAGAACCGUGAGUCAUCAGAUUUUUGAACGCAAUUGGCGCCGACUGGCUAUCCAGACGGCAUGCUUGUUUCAGUGUCUUGUUUUCUCCUCACCCAAAUCUUAAUGUGAGAGAUACCCUUCUCUUACUAAGUACGAAAGCACUCUGAGCCCUGCAAGCGACUUGGCUUCGGCCAAUUUGUCGCACUCAAUGCAGCAGUCACAUUUUUCAAAUGUGAACUCAUUGAGAGUAGAGUCAGCGCAGUUUACUGUUAGUGCUUAGACCCUCAAACUCUUCUUGCAUCUGAAAUCAAGCAGGAUCACCCGCUGAACUUAA